CUGUAACACAUCGAAGAUGCCAAAAAGAGUCGGUUACUUACGAAAAGCCGCUCUUUCCUUCCUCAAUUUUGGAGGUAAUCAACCAGAAGACCAGGCCAUUUUUGCUGCUUCUGCUACGUCUGGGUUCUCGCCCUUCCUCUCUCUUUUAAGUCUUAACCAGGCUGCUUCUCGUAAACCUCUGAACCCUCUCUUCCUUCCAAAGUGAUUUUUGUUACUAGCUGCAGUCUUUGAAGACUCUUCCGCAAGUGCAGAUGUGCCGGUUGGGUUACUGGCUGUGAGGAGUUGAUACAGAGAUUUCAAACUUGUUUGGAGGAAUGAUUCUAUCAGCUCUUCUAACUUCUGUCGGAAUCAAUCUUGGCCUUUGCCUUUUGUUUUUCACUCUGUAUUCUAUCUUGAGGAAGCAGCCAGGUAACGUCACUGUCUAUGCACCGCGCUUGGCUGCUGAAGGUAAAGCUCAACAGGGAGGUCAAUUCAACUUGGAAAGUUUGUUACCGACUGUUGGUUGGGUCAGAAAGGCAUGGCAGCUCUCCGAGGACGAAAUCUUGUCGGUACUGGGCUUGGAUGCCGUGGUCUUUAUGCGUAUUUUUAUCUUCAGUUUGAGAGUUUUUACCUUUGCCGGGGUUGUUGGGAUCUUCAUUCUUCUUCCGGUCAAUUAUCUGGGAAAUCAGCUAAAUGUUGAUUUUUCUCACUUUUCAAACAAGUCACUGGACUCAUUCAGUAUUUCAAAUGUCAACAAUGGUUCAAACUGGUUAUGGGUUCACUUUUGUGCUGCAUAUGUUUUCACUGGAGUUGUCUGCUAUCUUCUUUAUUAUGAGUAUGAAUAUAUUUCAUCAAAGAGAAUCGCUUACUUUUAUUCAUCCAAACCUCAGCCUCAUCAAUUUACAAUAUUAGUACGCGGUAUCCCAAUCCCAUCUGGAGGCACCUGCAGUGAAACUGUCAACAGCUUCUUUAUAGAGAACCACCCUUCUACUUAUCUUUCACAUGCUGUGGUUCGCCGAACUAGCAAACUUCAAGGUCUUAUUGGUGAUACAGAGAAGCUGUACAAAAGGCUUUCCUACUUGAAACUGAACAAUCAUACUCCACAAAGGUUCAGGCGUGAUGGCUUUUUGGGAAUUUUUGGACGAAAGGUUGAUCUUGUAGAUCACUAUGAAAAGAAGUUGCAAGAUUUAGAAGAUAAUGUGAGAUUGGAACAAUCUUCAUCAGCAGGAAAGGAAGUCCCUGCUGCAUUUGUGUCAUUCAAGUCACGGCUUGGUGCUGCAGUAGCUUUACACAUUCAACAAGCAGUGAAUCCCACAAAGUGGGUCACUGAGCGAGCACCUGAGCCUCAGGAUGUUUACUGGCCAUUCUUCUCUGAUUCAUUCAUAAAAAGAUGGAUCUGCGUGCUGGUGGUGUUUGUAGCAUGUAUUGCUCUUACAAUUCUAUUUCUUAUUCCAGUUGUACUAGUACAAGGACUUACUAAUCUUGAUCAGUUGGAGACCUGGUUUCCUUUCCUGAAAGGCAUACUAAAACUAACCUUCGUCAGUGAAGUGAUAACAGGAUAUCUUCCCAGUCUCAUUCUUCAGAUGUUCCUAUCUUUUGUGCCACCCAUCAUGAUAAUGUUUUCCUCCAUGCAAGGAUACAUCUCUCUUAGUCAGAUAGAAAAAAGUGCAUGUAUCAAGGUAUUGUGGUUUACAAUAUGGAACAUUUUCUUCGCAAAUGUACUAUCGGGAUCAGCUCUCUACCAGGUCAGCGUCUUCCUUGAACCCAAAAAGAUUGCCAGCGUACUAGCUGAAGCUGUACCAGCACAGGCAUCAUUCUUCAUUGCAUAUGUCGUGACAUCUGGUUGGACCAGUCUAUCUUCAGAACUCUGUCGAUUGGUUCCCCUCAUAUGCAGUUUUUUCAAGAGAGUAUUUUCAGGAAAAUAUGGUGAUGAAUUUGAGGUUCCAUCAAUUCCGUACCACAGUGGAAUUCCCAAGAUUCUCUUCUUUGGGCUUCUUGGUAUAACAUACUUCUUCCUUGCUCCACUAAUUCUGCCAUUUCUCUUGGUUUACUAUUGUAUGGGGUACAUCAUCUACCGCAAUCAGGUUAGUGGAAUGCCGUCAUUUUCAUUCUUUAAUUCAUUCUUACCAUUAUGAGCUUUAUCCCCUCGUUAUUUCUCUUAAUCACUUAGCCUAAAAUAACAUAAGCAAGGUUCUGUUUCAAAUAAAAAUAAUAGGUGCACCUUUCAUGAUGCUGUCCCACUUGAUUUACCACUGCUCUUAAAAUCAUAAACAAGUCUGAGAUUACUGUCAAGUUAUUCUAGUGGAAAGUUGGUGUGUGGUCUAGCCUAAUAUACAAUAUAUUAUCCUUGAAAUUAUGAAAUUAUGGUAGUAUAUGAAAUUAUGACUGGUUAUAAUUGUUUUAAAGUUGAUUGUGCUGUUGGACCUUAAAUAUCUAGAGCUAAUAAUUUUUAGCUUAGCAAAUGGUGAGGCAUAUGCAUCUAGAGGUGUUGCCAUCCUUCAUUUUGGAUUUUACUUGCCCUAUGGUUUGCUUUGGUAAAGACAAAUGAGUACUCUCUUUUGCAACAUGUUCAGUUUUCAGAGAGAAGCUGAUACGGGAGAGAAGAUAAACAAAGGACUUAAAAUUAUAUUGGUUUAAAAAAUUUAUUCCAUGAAAUAUGUUUCAGUCCAUACUGCUCCUUGUGGAGUAUAUCCUGCAUCCAUCCAAGUCUUUGACCCUGUGAAAAGUAAGAAAAGAGUUUCAGUUGGUGUUGGCUGUUGGGGCCACACCAUUUAUACAUUGGAAGGGAAGAACACAAGAGGGACGAUCAAUCCAAAAGCAGGACUUUUGAAAGUGUUUUAAGUUCUAAACUGCUUGUUUGGACUACUUAGUUGAGAUUCGCUUGGGGAGUGUUUGGUAAAGAAAGACAGAGAGGACGUUAACGAUCCUACCAUGGCUGAAUUUUAUGAUAAAUUAGUCACUGCAUAUAGAGAUCCAGGCCUGAUGUCAUUGCGAUAUUCAAGAUCAGGCACCGAGGGACUCAG